GGUUAAGCGACUAAGCGUACACGGUGGAUGCCCUGGCAGUCAGAGGCGAUGAAGGACGUGCUAAUCUGCGAUAAGCGUCGGUGAGGUGAUAUGAACCGUUAUAACCGGCGAUUUCCGAAUGGGGAAACCCAGUGUGUUUCGACACACUAUCAUUAACUGAAUCCAUAGGUUAAUGAGGCGAACCGGGGGAACUGAAACAUCUAAGUACCCCGAGGAAAAGAAAUCAACCGAGAUUCCCCCAGUAGCGGCGAGCGAACGGGGAGGAGCCCAGAGCCUGAAUCAGUGUGUGUGUUAGUGGAAGCGUCUGGAAAGGCGUGCGAUACAGGGUGACAGCCCCGUACACAAAAAUGCACAUAUUGUGAGCUCGAUGAGUAGGGCGGGACACGUGGUAUCCUGUCUGAAUAUGGGGGGACCAUCCUCCAAGGCUAAAUACUCCUGACUGACCGAUAGUGAACCAGUACCGUGAGGGAAAGGCGAAAAGAACCCCGGCGAGGGGAGUGAAAAAGAACCUGAAACCGUGUACGUACAAGCAGUGGGAGCCUCUUAAUGGGGUGACUGCGUACCUUUUGUAUAAUGGGUCAGCGACUUAUAUUCUGUAGCAAGGUUAACCGAAUAGGGGAGCCGAAGGGAAACCGAGUCUUAACUGGGCGUUAAGUUGCAGGGUAUAGACCCGAAACCCGGUGAUCUAGCCAUGGGCAGGUUGAAGGUUGGGUAACACUAACUGGAGGACCGAACCGACUAAUGUUGAAAAAUUAGCGGAUGACUUGUGGCUGGGGGUGAAAGGCCAAUCAAACCGGGAGAUAGCUGGUUCUCCCCGAAAGCUAUUUAGGUAGCGCCUCGUGAAUUCAUCUCCGGGGGUAGAGCACUGUUUCGGCAAGGGGGUCAUCCCGACUUACCAACCCGAUGCAAACUGCGAAUACCGGAGAAUGUUAUCACGGGAGACACACGGCGGGUGCUAACGUCCGUCGUGAAGAGGGAAACAACCCAGACCGCCAGCUAAGGUCCCAAAGUCAUGGUUAAGUGGGAAACGAUGUGGGAAGGCCCAGACAGCCAGGAUGUUGGCUUAGAAGCAGCCAUCAUUUAAAGAAAGCGUAAUAGCUCACUGGUCGAGUCGGCCUGCGCGGAAGAUGUAACGGGGCUAAACCAUGCACCGAAGCUGCGGCAGCGACACUAUGUGUUGUUGGGUAGGGGAGCGUUCUGUAAGCCUGUGAAGGUGGCCUGUGAGGGGUGCUGGAGGUAUCAGAAGUGCGAAUGCUGACAUAAGUAACGAUAAAGCGGGUGAAAAGCCCGCUCGCCGGAAGACCAAGGGUUCCUGUCCAACGUUAAUCGGGGCAGGGUGAGUCGACUCCUAAGGCGAGGCCGAAAGGCGUAGUCGAUGGGAAACAGGUUAAUAUUCCUGUACUUGGUGUUACUGCGAAGGGGGGACGGAGAAGGCUAUGUUGGCCGGGCGACGGUUGUCCCGGUUUAAGCGUGUAGGCUGGUUUUCCAGGCAAAUCCGGAAAACCAAGGCUGAGGCGUGAUGACGAGGCACUACGGUGCUGAAGUGACAAAUGCCCUGCUUCCAGGAAAAGCCUCUAAGCAUCAGGUAACAUCAAAUCGUACCCCAAACCGACACAGGUGGUCAGGUAGAGAAUACCAAGGCGCUUGAGAGAACUCGGGUGAAGGAACUAGGCAAAAUGGUGCCGUAACUUCGGGAGAAGGCACGCUGAUAUGUAGGUGAAGCGACUUGCUCGUGGAGCUGAAAUCAGUCGAAGAUACCAGCUGGCUGCAACUGUUUAUUAAAAACACAGCACUGUGCAAACACGAAAGUGGACGUAUACGGUGUGACGCCUGCCCGGUGCCGGAAGGUUAAUUGAUGGGGUUAGCGGUAACGCGAAGCUCUUGAUCGAAGCCCCGGUAAACGGCGGCCGUAACUAUAACGGUCCUAAGGUAGCGAAAUUCCUUGUCGGGUAAGUUCCGACCUGCACGAAUGGCGUAAUGAUGGCCAGGCUGUCUCCACCCGAGACUCAGUGAAAUUGAACUCGCUGUGAAGAUGCAGUGUACCCGCGGCAAGACGGAAAGACCCCGUGAACCUUUACUAUAGCUUGACACUGAACAUUGAGCCUUGAUGUGUAGGAUAGGUGGGAGGCUUUGAAGUGUGGACGCCAGUCUGCAUGGAGCCGACCUUGAAAUACCACCCUUUAAUGUUUGAUGUUCUAACGUUGGCCCGUAAUCCGGGUUGCGGACAGUGUCUGGUGGGUAGUUUGACUGGGGCGGUCUCCUCCUAAAGAGUAACGGAGGAGCACGAAGGUUGGCUAAUCCUGGUCGGACAUCAGGAGGUUAGUGCAAUGGCAUAAGCCAGCUUGACUGCGAGCGUGACGGCGCGAGCAGGUGCGAAAGCAGGUCAUAGUGAUCCGGUGGUUCUGAAUGGAAGGGCCAUCGCUCAACGGAUAAAAGGUACUCCGGGGAUAACAGGCUGAUACCGCCCAAGAGUUCAUAUCGACGGCGGUGUUUGGCACCUCGAUGUCGGCUCAUCACAUCCUGGGGCUGAAGUAGGUCCCAAGGGUAUGGCUGUUCGCCAUUUAAAGUGGUACGCGAGCUGGGUUUAGAACGUCGUGAGACAGUUCGGUCCCUAUCUGCCGUGGGCGCUGGAGAACUGAGGGGGGCUGCUCCUAGUACGAGAGGACCGGAGUGGACGCAUCACUGGUGUUCGGGUUGUCAUGCCAAUGGCACUGCCCGGUAGCUAAAUGCGGAAGAGAUAAGUGCUGAAAGCAUCUAAGCACGAAACUUGCCCCGAGAUGAGUUCUCCCUGACUCCUUGAGAGUCCUGAAGGAACGUUGAAGACGACGACGUUGAUAGGCCGGGUGUGUAAGCGCAGCGAUGCGUUGAGCUAACCGGUACUAAUGAACCGUGAGGCUUAACCUU
rnacentral:rRNA from 1 species